GGAUGUGAGGGUGAUCUGGCUGCAGCAUCUGUCACUCCAUUGAUUGCCAGGGUUGACUCCACUGUUCUGGUUGGCUAGGGAGGGUUGUCCUUUUCCUUCCUCACUGCUCCGUGUGUGUCUUUCUGGAAGCUGUACCACUGGGUUAAAGAGGAUGAUACUGGAUAGAGGAAGAGCAUUUCCUAGGUCAAGGGUACAUGAGUACCUGUGCUUCCCUGCUAGCGCCUCCAAACAAACACUCAACCUCCAUAAUUAUAGCAGCAUAGUUCAUAAUAGCUAAAUCUUAGAAGCAGGCUGCUUGCCCAU
rfam:Fukomys damarensis contig156295, whole genome shotgun sequence.